AAUCUUCAGUCUGUGCGAUGUACUUCUGUCCUGCUGACUGCUCUUGUACUUUGUGUAGAGCAUCAGAUGUCACAUCUCCAGCCUCAGGAUGAUGAACACACUCACUCUUCUGCUGGUUGCUCUCUCUCUGCCCUGUUGUACAGGUCAGAGUAUGGAGUCCAUUCCUUCCAGUUCAGUAGUGAAAAAGCCCGGGGAGACUCUGAGUCUCUCCUGCAGGGGAUCUGGCUUCACAUUUAGCUGCUGCAGCAUGCACUGGAUCAGACAACCUGCAGGAAAAGCACUGGAAUGGAUAGGUCGUGUUUACAGUGAUGCUAGUGGGACAGAUUACGCCAGCAGUGUGCAGGGACGAGUAGAGGUCACCAGAGAUAACAGCAACAGCAUGGUGUAUCUGAGACUGUCUAACUUAAAGCCAGAGGACUCUGCUGUGUAUUACUGUGCAAAACACACAGUGGUUAAAGGAAGCAGAAAGGCUUGACAAAAACCUCAUACAAAUUGUUUUCACAAAUACCUACAGGUGGCAGUAGAAAAUUAAACAUCAGAUGAUGCUAAUGAGAAUAUGACAGUGUCUCUAAUAACCCUCACAAAUACAUGACCACAAUGGAAGCAACAGCUGAUGUCAUGGUUUGUGACUUGCUGGUUUGUGACGGUUAAUAAUAUUUAUGCUUUUGACUGUGAACAGCAGGUGUUGAGAACAUAUUUAGAAAUGUAUGCAUGAUAUAUCCAGCAUGUUGAUGG